UGGGGAAUAUUGCACAAUGGGCGCAAGCCUGAUGCAGCGACGCCGCGUGAGGGAUGACGGCCUUCGGGUUGUAAACCUCUUUCAGCAGGGAAGAAGCGCAAGUGACGGUACCUGCAGAAGAAGCGCCGGCUAACUACGUGCCAGCAGCCGCGGUAAUACGUAGGGCGCAAGCGUUGUCCGGGAUUAUUGGGCGUAAAGAGCUCGUAGGCGGUUUGUCGCGUCUGCUGUGAAAACGCGAGGCUCAACCUCGCGCCUGCAGUGGGUACGGGCAGACUAGAGUGCGGUAGGGGAGACUGGAAUUCCUGGUGUAGCGGUGGAAUGCGCAGAUAUCAGGAGGAACACCGGUGGCGAAGGCGGGUCUCUGGGCCGUAACUGACGCUGAGGAGCGAAAGCAUGGGGAGCGAACA
rnacentral:rRNA from 1 species